ACUCUAUGAAUCUAGUGGAAACACUUCUGCACAAACUAGAUUAUGGAUACAGUGUGCGGAAGUGCUUCUGCUACAUUUUUAGGG
rnacentral:pre_miRNA from 1 species